UGAAGAUCCCAGUGGACCAACUGAUCUCUCUCACUAGCCAGCUCCAUCUGUUUCAGAAUUUGUUUUGGAAUCUCAGCGAUAGACUGAAUGUUCUUCUACUGUGCCAUAUAUAACUCAACUGAAAACAAACUUGUGAUGCUGUAGAAGAGGAUCUGUGGACGAAACUUCCUGAUGAUUUUUGACUGACAGUUUUGUCUGAUGUGGUUUAGUGGACAUCACAUUAGCUGAACAACUUGUUCAAGAAUUCUUUAUUUGAUUUACCAGGGAUGACCAAUUUCAUCAGCUUGGAAGAGCAGACAGUCCUGGUGUCCUAGAUUCCUGGAGUUGCUCUCCUUUGAGAAACCAGGAAAAGGAGCAGAAGACAAUCAAGACUGAGGGGGUGGACUGAGUCACCAGGUGGAGAUUAUGCAAAGCAGAGCUAAGCUUUCUGUCUCAUUUCUGUAAUACUCAGGGUGUAAAAGAGCUGCUCUGUUACAAGGUUUUAUAUUUUUGGAAGAUGAAGAAAAUAACUCUGCAGGCCUAGUACUGUUCAGCUGCCCCUUUUACAGCCAGAUCAGGGCCGUAGCGUGUGGCUGCGGCAAUAGGCUUGCCAU